rnacentral:rRNA from 1 species
CCUACGGGUGGCUGCAGUGGGGAAUCUUUCACAAUGGGGGGAACCCUGAUGCAGCAACGCCGCGUGGGUGAAGAAGUACUUCGGUAUGUAAAGCCCUGUCAUCAGGGAAGAAAAUGACGGUACCUUACCAAUAAGCCCCGGCUAACUACGUGCCAGCAGCCGCGGUAAUACGUAGGGGGCGAGCGUUAUCCGGAUUUACUGGGUGUAAAGGGAGCGUAGACGGCAAGGCAAGACUGGAGUGAAAGCCCGUGGCUCAACCACGGGACUGCUUGGGAAACUGUGUUGCUGGAGUGCAGGAGGGGUAAGCGGAAUUCCUAGUGUAGCGGUGAAAUGCGUAGAUAUUAGGAGGAACACCGGUGGCGAAGGCGGCUUACUGGAAUGUUACUGACGUUGAGGCUCGAAGGCGUGGGGAGCAAACAGGAUUAGAUACCCUUGUAGUC